rnacentral:rRNA from 1 species
ACUCAAAUGAAUUGACGGGGACCCGCACAAGCGGUGGAGCAUGUGGUUUAAUUCGACGAUAAGCGAGGAACCUCACCAAGGUUUGACAUGUAGCUGCAAGGCCUGGAAACAGGUCCGCCUUCGAGGGUGCUACACAGAUGCUGCAUGGUUGUCGUCAGCUCGUGUCGUGAGAUGUACCGUUAAGUCGGGAAACGAGCGCAACCCUUUUCUUAUGUUUUAUAUGUCAUAAGAUACUGCCCGUUUUAAAUGGGAGGAAGGUGGGAUGACGUCAAAUCAGCAUGGUUCUUACACCUUGGGCAACACACGUGCUACAAUGGGAGGUACAAAGGGACGCCAAAGCGCGAGCUGGAGCAAAUCCCUAAAAACCUUUCUCAGUUCGGAUUGGAGUCUGCAACUCGACUCCAUGAAGCUGGAAUCGCUAGUAAUCGUGGAUCAGCUAUGCCACGGUGAAUACGUUCUCGGGUCUUGUACACACCGCCCGU